UCUCAUGACUGGAACGUAAAUCUGAGAGAGACUGGUUGGGAAUAAAUAGACACCUGUCUUGGUUGUAACACGAUGGUGUUUGGUGGUUGGAAAGGAAAAGAUUUACUUGGGAAAAUCUCCAUAGUGACAUGAAAUCCCUGGUACCAGCUAAUGAUUUCUGGGCUCCUGGUUUAUAGCUCAGGAUAUGCCUAGUGCCCCAAAUUAUAUUAUAGGACGUGAUGGUGGCAGGCUUGCCCUGUCAUCAGCAUCCUCGGCGGAGAAGCCAGACAAGCGAGACGGCGGUUGCAGAACAGAGAUUCUUCUGGGGCCUUUAGAGGGAGAGCCUGGAAUCAGGCCUCCCCACCCAUGAAACUCAACGUCCGGUUCAAGCAUUUCUGGACCACAGGCUCCUGGUGAGUCCUGGUUCAUCUGUCUAGGGAGCCAUUUUCACCGCUGUGGUCGGACUUUAAACACCUGUGGUCAUCUUCCUGCAACCCCCCAACCAAGGCCUCCUCGUUCUGGCCAACCCCCAAGCCUUCAGGCGGCUGUGCCAACCACACCCCCGGAGACUCCAGCUGCGCCACCACUGCCUCUCCAUGGGGGGGAAGGGGUGUCGGAGGGGGGGGUCAGUUGUGCCUCCUGGUUUCUCGUCCCUGUUGGUCUUGGCCCUCCUUUGGUGGCUUCUGCUCUGGUCCCUAUCCUCAAGCUUAGGGUUCAUCUUGGUUUUUGCUUGUCUUCUGGAACAUUCCCUCUACAUGGCCCCCUGGCUGCUCUCAGUCUUCACCCACCCCGGCUAAUUGCCUCUUGGCCCAGAGCCCCCACUGACGCCCUCAUCCAUCCUCCCUCGGGAGGAGUCACUCCCAAGUCCAGUUUAGUCUUUCCAUCAGUCCACCAUGCUGGGAAGACCAACCUCCGUGUCCUGCACACCCCGCCGAGUGGCCUUCAUGCUGAGGGUGGGAGGGCAUGGUGGUUAAAAGUGGGCACCCUGGAGCCAGCCACUGUCUGGCUGCCCACCCCAGCUUUCCCUCUCUCUAGCUGGGAGUCCCAGGCAAGUUGGUGGCACUUUACAGCCUUGGAUUCCAUGUCUAUUAAACGGAGAUCGUGGUAGUAGCUACCUGAGGGGGUUGUUGGGAAGACUAAAUAAAUAAUUCACAAGACACAUUUAGAACAGGGCCCAGCAUAUAGUAAGUGUUAGGCAUUUACUAGUUUUCUAAGUUAAUCUGUAAAAGCUAAGCCAGCUGUAAGACACUGUUUCUGUAAUUUCAGGAGCGCUAUUAUUGUGUCAUGCUUAGUGUGCCCUGCCACACCUGAACCAGAAGCCUAAAAUCAAAACCAGGCUUAGGGGUCGGGGAGGGAAUUCCAGAUGCUUUUCUAUCUGUAAUUUUCUAAAAGAGCUCUCUCUCCUAAAGAAGUUGAACUUCAUGUUAAGUCCUGAAGCAGAUGUUUUUUUUUUUUUUUUUUAUUUUGGCUGUACCCACAGCAUGCAGAAGUUCCUCAGCUAGGGAUUGAACCCAAGCCACAGCAGUGACAACCCUGGGUCCUUAACCUUCUGAGCCACCAGGGAACUCCAGUUCUUGAAGAACACCUGUGGAAAACAUGCCCACAAAAAGCUGGUACCAUUUUCUCUAAUUCUUAUUCUUCUUUGUCAACUGACUCAGGAUCUUGGCUCCAAAGCUCUUGUGAUGGGAGCUUUCUCUGUUGCUGCUGGCUCCUUGUUGUCGCCCCACUGGGCUCUUAUCCCUCAGGGUUGAGCUCCUAUCACUGUCUUAACCACAGGAGGCCUCUACACCUUGCCAAGGAGGUUUGCAUUCCUUGCAAGGAAGGCGCUAAUUUAUUUUGCAGUGUUCUUGUGCCACAAGUUAGCUUCCUUUCUCUCACAGAUGUGGGAAGAAAGAAGUGCUUCAAAGCUCCAUGCUGACCUGGAGGGCAGACACAUUCCCCAGGGAGGCCCGAAGCCCCCGUGGUGCCAGUCUUUGCCCGUCCCCACCCAGGAGGACCCCACAGGCCACCUCCCUUCCCCUGCCAUGCACCUGCCCCUUCCUCUCUGGGCUGCUUCUGGGGCUGGUGUCUCAGGCUUUGACCUGGGACUGUUCCCUGCGGUGGCAGGGGCCCUGGCCUCCCAGUGAGAUCUCUGCAGACUGAGCCCCACCGCAGACACUCUAGAGGGAGGGACUGGGAUAGAAGGGAGGGUCUCUGCUUCCUGGGCCUGGCAGUGGCAGGGGGCGGGGUGAGGGGUCCAAGAGGCUUCCUACCAGGGUGAUGCCUGACCUGACUUUUAAAACACAAGCGAGUAGGUGUCUACCGUGGACAGUGGGGUGGGCUGGAGUGGGAUGAGAAUUCCAGGUAGAGGAAACACCUGGACCAGAGACGACGCGGACAGGGGUGUGUACGGGGGAGGUGAGGUGGUGAAGGGUGCCAGGACCCCUGGGCUCACUGGAAGGAGCCCUGGCUCCCCAGGAAGCUGAGCUUUAUAUUGAAAACCGUCCAUUCCAGCUGGUCUGACAGCGCUGGGUCUUCUGCGUGUCGAAGAACAGGAAAGCUCCCGCCAGAGAACAGGAUCAUCCCUGGGGUCCAGGAGGUUCGAAAACCAAACCUUUAACUUUGGACACCUUCCCCAUUUGUCAGUGGCCGGCCCGGCUCGGCUGCGGCCUCUGUGCCUGGCAGGAAACUGAAGGACCCUUUGGCGGGAGCCUCUGCCUGGAGAACCGGGCAGGUGUUCAGAGGGAGGCCUGACACGGGACUAUAAUUAAAUCGUGCUGACCCGCCUCUAGGAAGGCCCUCCCUCCAGGCAGGGAUUCCAAAGAAUCAUCCUGGACAGAUCCUCUCGUGAUGUAUAAUUACCCACGAUGAUUAAUUAGCUCGCCAGACCUUCGUAUUUAAUUAAUGAAUCGGGCAUUUAGUCAGUGUCUCUAAGUGACAGGCACUGCACAUCCCACAGGGGAGGCGGAGAGGGAAACGCGGUCCCCGCCCUCCAGGCGCUCACGGCGGAAGAGACGAAGCCGUGAACACCCCCCCAGUGACGGUGAUGCGCGCCUGUAAUCACAGCUGCUGCCCCGUGCUGGCCAGGGCUGGAGUCUGGAAGGAUGGGUAGGCGUUGAGUUGGUGGGCAGAGUGGAAGGAACCUUCUAGGCAGGUGGCACCGCAUUUUCUGAAGCAUGGAGUUGCGAAGAAGGCAGCAUGUGUGGGGAUCCCUAGCGGCGGCUCCUUGACUCACAGCGCAUCCGGCUUCCCCCACCUCCAGAGGCCCCGGCAGCGCUCGCCCUCUCCACUGCUCCCACUCCUGCCCCCCAGAGGCUCCAGGCCACUCUCGGGUCUGCAGAACCGGGCCUUAGAAGGAGCGUUGCCAUCUGAGAUGCAGGCUUUUGUGUUGCUAGGUAGUGAGGUGCUUAGAGAAGGGCAGGAGGCAAAGUCAGGGCGGUAGUUUGGGGCCAGGAGCCCUGUCUUUCUGAGUUCUUUCCGUUGAUGACAGAAAGCUACUAAAAGUUUUUAGGCUGGAGAGUAGCACAGACCAGUGCUGUAGAAAUAAACUACAUGCAGCGCAGAGCACCAUUCCACGUCUGUGCUGCGACCCCCUCAUGUGUGCAGGACCGACUAAGGUCUACAGGGGGCAUCCUUAGCAUGUCAGGAGGGGAGAGCGGACCGUAUCCCCAUCAGCUCUCUCACUCUCUCUGGGGAGGCACAAAAGGGGCUGGAGUUCCAUCUGCUCUGCUGAGAAUGUUGCUGGAUCUUGGGGUGGCCCCCUGCCCCACUUUGAGUAUAAUCGGGUACCAGAAACUACUGCUCAUCCUGUUCAGCAAGUUCUUUUCCUGGCUCCCAUGAUUUUGCAGAGUGGAUUUAGUGUAAUUCUUAAGGGCCCUAGGAUUCGGGAAAUGGUCCCUGGGAACUGGCUUCAAUUUAAAGGCCCAAGAGCGUCAGCCUGUCCUUUGAAGCUUUGAAGCUGAGCACUGACUUCUCCUCUCCAGCUGUGAACGUCCUGGAAGGCUGUUUAGUCCACAUUGAAAAUCUGUUGCUUCGUAUGGCCGCCUUCAUUAAUUAUCUCAGAUUUCCUGAAUAACUUGUUACAGCUUCUUUUUUUUUUUAAUUACUCAAUGAAUUUUAUUACAUUUAUAGUUGUCCAAUGAUCAUCAUUAUAGCAUUUACAUCCCAAACCCCCAGCCCAUCCCACCCCCCCCCCCCCAGCUUGCUGCAGCUUCUACAUCAGCCCUUUUAAGUGUGGAAAUGACCUCUUUUCUUGAACCUCAUGAACCAACCUCUGCUGGCUUCAAACGUUGCUUCGGCACCUUCUUCCCUCUCUCAGCCUUCAUAGAAUUGAAGAGUUGGGUCUUGUUCUGGAUGCGGCUCUGGCUUAGGGGAAUAUUCUGGCUCCUUUGAUCUUCUCCCCAGACCACACCAACGUUCCCCAUAUCAGCAGUAGCGGUAUGUUCACCACGGUGGCAUUUUAAUUUCCUGUAAGAACUUUGCUUUUUUGUUCACAACUUGGCUAACUGUUUGGCCCAAGAGCUCCGGCUCCCGGCCUGUCCAGGUCUUUGUGUCCUUCCUCACUAAGCUGACAUAGGUCUGGCUUUUGACUUAACGUGAGAGACGGUCGUGCUCUCUUUCACUUGAACACUUAGAGGUCAUUGUAGGGUUUCUAACUGGCUAGUUUCAAUUUUGUUGUGUCUCAGGGAACAGGGAGGGAGAACGGCAGGGGGGUGGCCCUGGUGGAGCGGUCAGAACACAUGUUCAUUAUUUAAGGUCGCCGUCUUAUAUGGUGUGGGGCGUGGCAUCACAGAACAACUGCAGUGGUGACA
rnacentral:lncRNA from 1 species